CACGUGACCCAAAGCCAGUAGAUAUACUAAUCGGAAAUAAAAUUACCGUUGGGGGCGCCACUGAGCUAGGUCGAAAACAGUAACCAUAAAUGGCGGGAAAAUGUUUAUUCGAAUAUUUUGAGCGUUGUACGAAUUUUGAGGCUUCACAAUUAUUACAUUGCCUAUGCGGAAUGAUUAUUGCAUCAUUGAUGCAAGAAACUUAUGUUGACAAAUGAGAGAUGACGAGGAAAACACGAAUAACGAAUGACUGUUUGGUUCACUUUCUUUAUUGGAAAAUUAUUACAAAGACAUUGAAAAGCCUACCUUUUGGCAUAAUUUACGUUUAAAUGUAUCAGCAGUUGUUAAUCUUUAUUGUAGUUUUGUAGAUUUACCGCAGCAUUUCAUGAUUUUUUCAGUGGAAAAUUCUAACCUAAAAUUCAUAACACUUCACUAAUUUAUUGGUUUCUUGAGCCAAACUUUGUGUUCGCUGUGAUCAAUUACUUAUAAUCUUUAAUUAGACAACUGUUUGAUAACACUUUGUAAUUAAAAUUUAAAUAUUUUUCACUUUUUAUCCACUUUCAAGUUCCAACAAUAAACACUUUAUACCACGAAAAACUACAGAACCAAAGUCAACGCUAGUAUUUACCCCCACGUACUUUUAAAGUAAUUCUUUCUAUUGUAAGUAAUUAACACUAUACACGCAAAAUUGUUGAACAAUUCAUUAAAUGUCAGUUAAAUGUGGCAUUACGAAAAUUUCUUUACUGUUUUCGACAUAGUUCAAAAGUCAUCACCAGAGGGCGUCUAGUUAAUUUUAUUUCCGAAAAGUAGCGACACGGACCUUGACAGGGCAACAAUAACGAUUAUACACUCUACAGAUGGCUCCACCAUCAAAAUUCAAAAACGUACGUCAAAAAUGUCAAGAUUUUUUCACGUUUGAAAAAUUGUUUAUGUGUACAGAUACCAUGAAACCUUCAAACUUGUGCUUCACUCACGUAAAAAUAAAUCAGAUCGUCCCUAAAUUCAACUGAACAUUGCAAUGAGAAAGGCUUUUAGAAUGCGCAGAAUACAGCAACUCUUAUGGACAUUUCGAAGAAGGUGCUGGCGCUUCAACAGUGAAUUCAUUCCUUAAAAGAAUUUGAACUUUGUAUUUAACGAAAAAGCCAAAAACACGUUUCAAAAUAAUAGUUGUUUGAUCUCAAAAAAUUGUGAUACUUACAUUUCUAAUUUUAAUAAACUCCUCUCUAAGUGUUUUUACA